rnacentral:ribozyme from 1 species
UGCCCAGCAACUCCUAUCCCUACCUUCUCGUGGUACUGGCCGGGGUACGAGUAACCUUGGGGAAGAUCGGGUAACCAACCCCCGGUGGGAACUUUGGUCGUAUGCUGACAGAGAAGG